rnacentral:rRNA from 1 species
AUGUCGCCUUGGGCCUUGCUCUUUCUAGCCGCCCACCUCGCGGCCGGCGAGCCCACCUCCAUCACGACCCUCACCGCCACCCCGGCGAAGCCGACCAAACCAGACCACGCAGUCACCCUCCAAUGGUCCAACCUCCCCGACCCGAGCCCGCUCGACUACGUGGCCGUCUACUCCCCGCCGUCCUCCGGCGACCUCGACUACCUCGGCUUCCUCUUCCUCAACUCCUCCGCCUCCUGGGCCACGGGCGCCGGCAGCCUCACGCUCCCGCGCCUGCCCGACCUGCGCGCCCCCUACCAGUUCCGCCUCUUCCGGGGCCCGCCGGGCCGGAACCCGCGCGUUGACCAGCAUGUCGACCCGCUCCCCGACGCCAGCCGCCGCGCCGCCGUCUCGGGCAACGUGGCCUACGAGGGAUCCGGCGCCCGGCCCGCCCAGCUGCACCUGGCGUUCACCGACGAGGCGGACGAGAUGCGGGUGAUGUUCGUGUGCGGCGACGGCGGGAGGAGGUCGGUGAGGUACGGGCCCGCCGGCCGGCGCGAGGAGGAGUGGGAAGAGGUGCCGGCGGAGGCGAGCACGUAUGAGCAGCGCCACAUGUGCGGCUACCCGGCGAACCAUAGCGUCGGGUGGCGCCACCCUGGGUUCGUCUUCGACGGCGUCAUGGAGGGGCUGCGGCCUGGGUCAAGGUACUUCUACAAGGUUGGCAAUGAUCUAGGAGGUUGGAGUGAGACAUACAGCUUCAUCUCACGCGACACCGAGGCCAACGAGACCAUCGCAUUCCUCUUUGGUGAUCUGGGCACUUACGUUCCUUACAACACCUACUUUCGAACACCUCAAGAAAGUCUGUCAACUGUGAAAUGGAUUCUCCGUGAUCUCCAAGCCCUUAACGACAAACCUGCGGUCAUUUCACAUAUCGGUGACAUCAGCUACGCUAAGGGUUAUGCGUGGUUAUGGGAUCAUUUCUUUGAACAGAUUGAGCCUAUUGCUGCCAAUACACCAUACCAUGUCUGCAUUGGGAAUCAUGAGUAUGACUGGCCUUCCCAACCUUGGAAACCCUCCUGGGCUGCAAACAUAUAUGGUGGGAAUGAUGCUGGCGGCGAAUGCGGAGUACCAUACAGCAUCAAGUUCAAAAUGCCUGGAAAUUCUUCUCUCCCUACCAGCACCAUUGCUCCUGACACCCGGAAUCUCUACUACUCCUAUGACGCAGGUGUUGUUCAUUUUGUUUACAUGUCUACUGAGACUGACUUCACUCAUGGCAGUGAUCAAUACAACUAUAUAAAAGCCGACCUCGAGCGCCUCAACCGGAGUCGAACACCAUUCGUCGUGUUCCAGGGCCACCGUCCGAUGUACACCUCAAGCAACGAGUCCAAGGACACGGCUCACAGGGAGCAGAUGAUUCAGCAUCUGGAGCCUCUCUUUGUGAAACACGGCGUGACACUCGCUCUGUGGGGGCAUGUUCACAGGUAUGAGAGGUUCUGCCCCAUGAAGAACUAUCAGUGCCUUAACACUUCGUCGAGCUUCGUGGACCCUGGUGCUCCUGUGCAUGUUGUGAUCGGGAUGGCUGGGCAGGACUACCAAGCAAGCUGGGAACCGAGACCUGACCACCCCGAAGUCCCCAUAUUCCCGCAGCCGCAGAGGUCCAUGUACCGUGGCGCUGAAUUCGGGUACGCAAAACUUGUGGCCACAAGGGAGAAGUUGACACUGACAUACAUUGGUAACCAUGAUGGGCAAGUCCAUGACAUGGUUGAAAUAUUGUCGCCGCAAGUCGAUACCGACAGCGCACCUGAUAAGCUGGUCGGUGCGAUGCCGAAGAAGAUGAGAUACCUGGGAAUUGCCGGCAGCGUGAUGCUUGCGAUGCUGCUCGGAUUCAUGGCUGGCUUUGCUGUUAGAAGGAAGACGGACCCGGCACGAUGGAGUCCUGUACAAGAUGAGGAAUCCUAA